CUCAGAACGAACGCUGGCGGCGUGCCUAACACAUGCAAGUCGAACGGAGUGAAGGAGCUUGCUCUUUCAUUUAGUGGCGCACGGGUGAGUAACGCGUAGAUAAUCUGCCUUGGACUCUGGGAUAACAUCUCGAAAGGGGUGCUAAUACCGGAUAAGCCCAGAUGGCGUAAGUCAUUGCGGGAAAAGGGGGCCUCUGAAUAUGCUCCUGAUUCAAGAUGAGUCUGCGUACCAUUAGCUAGUUGGUAGGGUAAGAGCCUACCAAGGCGACGAUGGUUAGCUGGUCUGAGAGGAUGAUCAGCCACACUGGAACUGAGACACGGUCCAGACUCCUACGGGAGGCAGCAGUGGGGAAUUUUGCGCAAUGGGGGAAACCCUGACGCAGCAACGCCGCGUGAGUGAUGAAGGCUUUCGGGUCGUAAAGCUCUGUCUAGAGGGAAGAAAUGAUAGUCGGUUAAUACCCGGUUUUCUUGACGGUACCUCUGAAGGAAGCACCGGCUAACUCCGUGCCAGCAGCCGCGGUAAUACGGAGGGUGCAAGCGUUGUUCGGAUUUAUUGGGCGUAAAGCGC
rnacentral:rRNA from 1 species